rnacentral:rRNA from 1 species
UACGGGGGAGAGCAAGCGUUGUUCGGAUUUACUGGGCGUAAAAGGGCGGGUAGGCGGCCACCGCAAGUCAGUUGUGAAAUCUCCGGGCUUAACCCGGAAAGGUCAACUGAUACUGCGGGGCUAGAGUGCAGAAGGGGCAACUGGAAUUCUUGGUGUAGCGGUGAAAUGACGUAGAUAUCAAGAGGAACACCUGCGGCGAAGGCGGGUUGCUGGGCCGACACUGACGCUGAGGCGACGAAAGCCAGGGGAGCGAACGGG